CGCACAUUGCGCCCGCUAGUAUUCUGGCGGGCAUGCCUGUUCGAGCGUCAUUUCAACCCUCAAGCCCCCGGGCUUGGUGUUGGGGAUCGGCGAGCCUCCGCGCCCGCCGUCCCCCAAAUCUAGUGGCGGUCUCGCUGUAGCUUCCUCUGCGUAGUAGCACACCUCGCACUGGGAAACAGCGCGGCCACGCCGUUAAACCCCCAACUUCUGAAAGUUUGACCUCGGAUCAGGUAGGAAUACCCGCUGAACUUAA
rnacentral:misc_RNA from 1 species